UAUUUGUACAAAAAUCCAUAGCUACAUUUUAUGUUUCUUAAACCAAUACAGAGUAUCCAAACAAAAGCCAAUGUCGGAUUUUACAGUAUUUAAAUUACACAGUUAAGGUAGACAAAGUUGAGUUGAGAAAUAUGUACAAUAUUUAUUA